AAAGCAACAGUCCAGGGUUUCUUCUCGGAUGAACGGAGGAGAAUUCGAUAAACAGGUUCAGUUUUUGGUUGAAGGCUUUUUGGCAAUAAGAAAAGCCAAAUUUCAGGGGUAUCCUGCUGUUUGUGCCGAACUGGACCUUGUAGAGCAGGAAGAUCAAUUAACUCAUGAGGUUUCUCUUGACGAGGAUAUGGAUCAAGUGAUCACUCUCGGUAAGAAGAAAUACUUGUGUAGUCUCAGAUGAUCCACUUUACAUAAAUCUGUAUCUGGAAGGGAAGUGAUCACCAGUUUCUGAAGGUGAUCCAGGUAGGCGAGCAGACUAGGCUUGCAGAUAGAGGGACCUCAGUAUUGCCCUAUCAGUAGAGAGUGAGUAUAUUUUGAGAGUAUUUUUGCAUAGCCCUCACCAGUUGAUGAUAUGUGGGAAAUAGUCAUAUGUGUAUAUUUUGAGAAAUAUGUUAGCACUCUGGUAUUGUAUAUAAUUAUAUACGGUUAUGUUUAUUUGAUUUCUGGUUCUUGCUGCUUAGGUUAAUCGUUGGGUUAAUCCAGUUUGAUAUCAGAGCAUUGUAAAUUUUACAGUAUAAAAAAAUAUCUCAGUUAAAUA